GCUUGUCUCAAAGAUUAAGCCAUGCAUGUCUAAGUAUAAACAACUUUAUACGUGAAACUGCGAAUGGCUCAUUAUAUCAGUUAUAGUUUCUUUGAUGGUGACACUACUUGGAUAACCGUAGUAAUUCUAGAGCUAAUACAUGCAGCAAUCCCUGACUUAGGAAAGGGUGUACUUAUUAGAUGGAAACCAAUGCGGGGCAACCCGGAAUAUGGUGAAUCAUAAUAACUGUCGUAUCGAGCAAUCGAAGCGCCAUACAAGUUUCUGCCCUAUCAGCUUUGGAUGGUAGGGUAUUGGCCUACCAUGGCUUUAACGGGUAACGGAGAAUUAGGGUUCGAUUCCGGAGAGGGAGCCUGAGAAACGGCUACCACAUCCAAGGAAGGCAGCAGG
rnacentral:rRNA from 1 species